UCCGAAGUGAAUAACGCCCCGCUUCCAGGAAAAGCCUCUAAGCUUCAGAUCACAUUGGACCGUACCGUAAACCGACACUGGUGGGUGAGCAGAUAAUCUGCCAAGGCGCUUGAGAGAACUCGGGUUAAGGAACUCUGCAAAUUGAUACCGUAACUUCGGAAGAAGGUAUGCCUUCGACGGUGUAGGGAUUUACUCCCGAAGCUGUUGAAGGUCGCAGGUAAUCGGUGGCUGCGACUGUUUAUCAAAAACACAGGACUCUGCGAACACGCAAGUGGAAGUAUAGGGUCUGACGCCCCCCGGUGCCGGAAGGUUAAUUGAUGGGGUUAGCCGCAAGGCGAAGCUCUUGAUCGAAGCCCCGGUAAACGGCGGCCGUAACAAUAACGGUCCUAAGGUAGCGAAAUUCCUUGUCGGGUAAGUUCCGACCUGCACGAAUGGCGUAACGCUGGCCACACUGUCUCGACCCGAGACUCAGUGAAGUUGAAAUCGCUGUGAAGAUGCGGCGUUCCCGCGGCAAGACGGAAAGACCCCGUGAACCUUCACUACAGCUUUACACUGAACUUUGAACCUUUCUGUGUAGGAUAGGUGGGAGGCUAUGAAACUUGGGCGCUAGCUCGAGUGGAGCCAACCUUGAAAUACCACCCUGGGAUGUUUGAAGUUCUAACCUUGGUCCGUAAUCCGGAUUGGGGACAGUGUAUGGUGGGUAGUUUGACUGGGGCGGUCUCCUCCCAAAGAGUAACGGAGGAGUGCAAUGGUACGCUCAGCGCGGUCGGUCAUCGCGCUCUAGAGUGCAAAGGCAUAAGCGUGCUUAACUGUGAGACAGACACGUCGAACAGGUACGAAAGUAGGUCUUAGUGAUCCGGUGGUUCUGUAUGGAAGGGCCAUCGCUCAACGGAUAAAAGGUACUCCGGGGAUAACAGGCUUAUUCCUCCCAAGAGUCCACAUCGACGGAGGAGUUUGGCACCUCGAUGUCGGCUCAUCACAUCCUGGGGCUGUAGCAGGUCCCAAGGGUAUGGCUGUUCGCCAUUUAAAGUGGUACGCGAGCUGGGUUCAGAACGUCGUGAGACAGUUCGGUCCCUAUCUGCCGUGGGCGUUGGAAACUUGAGGGUGAGCUGUCCUUAGUACGAGAGGACCGGGAUGGACGUAUCUCUGGUGUUCCGGUUGUCACGCCAGUGGCACUGCCGGGUAGCUAUAUACGGACGGGAUAAGCGCUGAAAGCAUCUAAGCGCGAAGCCCCCCCCAAGAUUAGGUUUCCCUGGGAACUCGAUUCCCCUAAAGGGCCGUCGGAGACUACGACGUUGAUAGGCUGGGUGCGUAAGUGCAGCAAUGCAUUGAGCUAACCAGUACUAAUUGCCCGUGAGGCUUGACCAA
rnacentral:rRNA from 1 species